UCCUUUCUUCUCUGCUAGGGUUUCAAAACCCUAGCUUUUGCGCCACCAUCGCCUAUCCACGCUCCUCCGCCAUGGACGGUGGUUGGAGUUUUACAAAUCAGGGCCUUUAGCCCUUGUUUUAGCCCCGUUUGAAAGCCAGGCGUACUUAGCCCUCGAAUAAAAAAAGAAAGCUCUCCCCUUGUCCUCUUUUGAUUCAGUUUUGAAGACGGAGAGAACUCCGACGACGUAACCGUGAGGUGAUCCAAGUAAAUUUCUUCCUUCUUCUUUUUUGUUUUCGUUUACAUAUCUAAAUAAAAUAUAAAGUAAUCAAAGAAAAAAAGAAAAAAAGAACAAGAAUUUAAAACGAAAGUAAAAAAACCUUUGAAGCUUUUCUCUGUUUUUUUUCUGUUUUCGAUUUCUUUUUAAAAAACAUCUGUAAUACAAUAUUUUUUCUUUUUUUAAAAAAAACCCCUUUACAUUUCUGUUCUUUGGCUAUAUAGCCGAAUCCCCCCUUCUAUUACUGUUCUCUCUACUUUGUAUUAUUUCUGCCUCUGUUCUCUUUUGUUUUGUUUGCUGCUUUGGUUUUGCAAGUGUCAGAGGAGCGAUGGGAUGGUGGCGUGCUGCAAGCAUGGCCAAGAGAGGGGUACGGCGCACAUGGGGCUAGGGAGGCGCGGCGCCAAGGAUGAGCUAGGGUUUUUGCCUAGCUGAAAGUUUGUUUAGGUCUGGGCCUGUUAAUUGGGCUUAGGGUUAAAUCUGUUUUGGGCUUGUAAUUGGGUAAUGGGCUAGGUUUAAUUUGGUUUGGUUUUAUUGGGCCUCGGGCAAAAUUUGGGCCUUACAAUUGUGUCAUAAAAAUAGGUGAUAUUGGCAAUUUAUUAUCCCCAACCCAAUUUUACUAUUUAUUCCAGGCCAUUUGGAUGAUCAUUUUUUAAUUAGGAUCAUUUAUGUAAAUAAUUAAUUUUUGAGGGUCAUUUGAGUAAAAUAACCGUUAGAACUAAGCAACUAGGUAUGCUUUGGAACCAUUCUCUUGGAUAAGACAAUAAAAUUUUCUUUUUAUAGCAGAUUUUUUUUAUUUUGUCAAUUUUUUAAAAUUAAGAUGAUGUCCUACAUCAAUAAAAAAUAUUUCUAUCCUUUUCUGUAUAUUUAAAAGUAUUGAUAUUUUUUAAAAAGUUUUAAUUGGUAUUGUCUAAAUAACGGUA
rnacentral:lncRNA from 1 species